rnacentral:rRNA from 1 species
UUGGAGUAGUAAUAUUAAUGAAAUUUAACGGAUUUGGCGGCAAGAUAGCCCCUUAGAGGAACCUGCCCUGUAAACGAUGAACCACGAUGGACUUUACUUUUUUUGGUAAUCAGUUUGUAUAUCGCUGUUGUCAGUUAGAUUCUUGAGAAUAUUUUCGUUCAUGAAAAGUUCAUUGACUUCAAGUAAAGGUGCAGCUUAUAAGAAAGAUAGAGGUGGGUUACAUUUAUAAGAAUAAGACGGAGAGGAUGAUUGAAAUAGUCCUUGAAGGUGGAUUUAACUGUAAAACUUAAUUAGGUUUGGUGAGAGCUC